rnacentral:misc_RNA from 1 species
CAUUGAUCUUACUCAGAUGAAACAUAACAGUGUUCUCGCUAGACACGGAGAUCCCUUUUAUAUAACCGUAUUAUGAAUGAAAACAAGUGGGAUAUUUGCCCUAAUUGUGAGCGUGAAGUGACUGUAGUGGGCCGUGGCCCCGAGAGUGGCUGAGGAAGUGGCCGGCGAGGUAGCCAGUGGCCGUCACCACCAUCUUGUGAGGGAAGCUGAAGUGUACCUGAGUGAAGAGUUUAAUCAUGAGUAGUGGUGAGCGUAGACCACUGAAGCGGAAGGCAGAGGAGUCACUUGAACAGGAACAUGGAAGAAGCAAAACUGGAAAAGAAGCAAGAACUGAAGUACUGGUUGCAGGCUGUACAACGGCUGGCAAUAUAGGUAUUUUGACGCUGUCAGAUAAUGACUGGGCUUGCCUCGACUCUCCUCCAAUUCACACCAAAGAAAAUACUGCCAGUAUUUCGAAAAGGGAAGAAAAUAAGGAUGGGUCUGUUAGUUGUGGUGUUAUGUGGAGGGGCGACGAGGGAAGACAGCUAGACUCGUCUGUACCACAGGUAUGUUUAAGCUGCAAGAGAGAAGCAAAUGGCAAGACGUCUGACUGUGGCACACAAACAUUUCAUUUUCUGCCGGCAACAUCCGCUCCGGAGGCAUUUGUUCUGGAGUCAGGCUGUAAGACGGAGACAUCAAAGCAAGUUGCUCUCGCAAGUGUCAACCUUAAGAAUAUUAAAGUGGAAGUACCUGACGACCAGGAAUAUGAAAGACAUCCAUUAGUCUGCUGUGUUCGUGAUUGUGAAUCCCGGUCAAAUGAAGCGGAUUCCAUCAUAUUCUACGCUGUUCCUCAUAAUAAAGAGCUCAAGUUAUUUUGGGCAGAAGUGCUUGAUAUUAUUGUACCUGACUGCUAUAGUUCCUCGGAGCAGUAUGUCUGCAGCUUGCAUUUCAUAACUCCCCAAAAAUUACCAGUUGUGAAGACAAAAACUCGAAAAAAGAAAACCUGCGACAUGUUGGUGGCUGAGGAAGCAGAGAAGAUCAAGCAGGGAUUGUCUGCAGGCAGACCCAAGAGGACUCCAAAACCUAACAAGAAUUAUGACUGGGCUGAACUGACCCCUUUUAUCAAGACAGAAUUAUCAGAUCCAGAUGAAAUGGAAUUUGUGCCAGUAUCAAAAGCUCAGGUGAAGAGCAGUGCGUUGGUCGGUCGAAGAAGAAAACAGGCACUUACUCCAGUAAAAAAGGAAGACAAAGAAAAUGAGAUGCCAUCACCUGACACAGGGACCUCAGUUUUUGAAAAUGAAGAUGAAUACGGGGAAAAUGUCAGUUUGCCUAGUCAUCCAAGAGCACCUCCUCCGAAACCAAAGGGACGACCUCACCGAAUUAGAGACACGUGUACCCAAACUGAUGCACUUCAUAGUUCUUUAAAACAACCAUUACGUGAGGUGAAGGUGCAGUGCAAUUUAUCAACCGAGCCCCUUAUAUCCUGCCCAAACUGCUCCAUUAUUGACUGGAUGAAAUUAGAAGAACUUCUGAUUGAUUACUUAGCCAAAAUAGAAGGGGAGUUGUGUGACCCAGUGCUAAGUGAAUACUUCAGAAAUUUGGUGAGCGAUGUACAGGAACCCACCCAUGCCACAAAUGUCCUCAAACUUCUUAGUGGGUUGGAGAGAGAUAGCUUGGAGGGGACCAAGGACAUUAUUCUAAUAUCUAGUCAGGACGAUGAAGUGGAAAUAGAGAAUGUAAUUCAUCCAGAAGUAGAAGCACCAAUGACAGGGUUGAGAGAAAUUACUCCAAAACUCUGGCAGGAAAACACAAAAUGGAAGAAAGAAAUUGAACCGGACGAGGAUGUGGUUGAGGAUGAUACAGAUGGGUUGGGUUUGCAGGAGGCGACUGAAAUAGAUGAUGAUGAAUUCCAUCCAGGUUUUCCCGAACCCGACGAGGAUGAGGAAGAAGACCAAGAGUUGGACGAUGAGGAUUGGAACAUCAAUAAAAGAGAUAGUGACUCUGGAAUUUCAUCAUCAAAGCGGAAACAGAAGAAAGUCAAUCAAAGAAGUAAAAAAGACCCUGGAGGCCAUGUCUUAACCAGCACGGUGAAGGCGUGUCUCCCUGCCUCCAGGCCACACCUACAGACUCCUCCCCAGGAACACACUGGUAUCUGUGCGUCUACAGGAGAGAGCAGCGCUCACCCUCCCUCAGCGUUGCAUGCUGCUCCACAUAGACAUGAGCCCCACAGAGAUGGCGGACCGAACAAAGGUGGGGCAUCACAGAGAGACGGUAGAUCACCAGGAACCAGAAGGUUACAGAGAGGCGGCUCGUCGCGCACAGAUGGACCGGACAGAGAGGGUGUGUCAGAGAAUGAAGGGAGCACUAGCAAGGCGCAUUACUCGUGCGAUGAGUGCGGGAAGACGUUUACUCAGCGGCAGGCGGUGAGGUACCACAAGGUGUGGCGACACAACGCCGAGCGCCGCGGACCGUGUCCUCACUGUAACUAUAAGGCUCCAGACUCCACUAAACUUACACUUCAUAUAAAGAAAGUGCAUCGUGGAUACAUGCCGUACAAGUGCAAGUUUUGCACUAAACAAUUUAAGUGCCACUCUAAUCACAAGGAACACGAAGCACGUCACCAGGGAGGCGGAAACUUGAAGUGUCAAUUCUGCGAGAAGAAGUUUGCCCUUCGAUCAUCUCUGGAGCGUCAUGUCCGCUACCACAACGGAGGAAGACCAUUCUGCUGUCAACAUUGUGGCAAAAAUUUUAAAGUUAAACCCCAUCUUGAGCGUCAUGUAAAAUGUAUCCAUCUGAAGGAAAAGCCUGUCAUAUGUAAGGUGUGUGGCGCCGCUCACCACAACAACUGGAACUUGAAGACACACAUGAAGAUACACCAACUUUGUGAACGUAACCCUGGCCACUCCUGCAGCGUUUGUUGCUGUCAGUUUAAGAACAGCUCCGGUCUGAUGGCUCACAUGCGUAAGACACAUACCGUCACUGUUGACCAGCCGUCUCAACCUGCCGAGCUGGAGGCCACGGUACCAACAAGUUCAGCCGAGUGUCCACUUGUGAGAGACGAGCCAGACACCAGUAGAGGCCCCGAGGAACCACCAACUGAACAACUGCCAAUCAUACUCCAGGCUCAGAUGACGGAUCAUCGUACCAUAGUUAUCCACGAUACCUCCCCACACCACCACCAGCCUCCACAACUUGACCAUCACUUGCCUUAUGAUGAACUCCUUCAAGGCUCCUCCAUGCACACGCUGGAACUGUAUUCCUGUGAUAACUGUCUUAUGGUAUUUCAAUCGGAGGAAGAGUUACUGGAGCAUCGUUGUACACACUCAUUCACCACUAGUCAGUAAUUUUACAAUUUAUCCCACAGGGGAAGAAUAUAUAUGUACUCACCUAUUGGUGCCUGCAGGAUCGAGGUUUAGCUCUCGGACCUCACCAUUCUGGUCAUUGGUUGUCUAUUGUAAUGAUUCUUUCCUUAUUCCUCUUAUCAAUACACACAAAAAUCAUAAUAACGUGAUGCAUCAAAUGAACAAAUCCACAAGGGCCGUGACGAGUCGAUUAAGGCAGCGUCUGGGAUCCUCUCGGACGUAGGUUCGAACCCUCGUCACGGCUCUUGUGGAUUUGUUCCUAUCAAAUCUACUUGUAAAAAUUAUGAGUGGUUCACUUCAACAACCUACUCAUUUAUCUCAUUCCAUUCCCACUAACGCUAAAAGAAAACUUUCUAACAUCUCGAUGACUUACCUGAUUUUCCAUCCAUACCCUCUCGUUCUACUGGUAUUCAUUUUUGAACCUUUUUUUUUUCAUUUUGCCAGUCGCCCCAAGUAUUUUAGGCUCAUUCGUGUAUCCUUUUUCUCUUUUUUUUCUCUAAUGAUGUCAUGUCUAGUUCUUUCAGUCUUCCUUCAUACCCAGUCCCUCACAAUUGCAGAACGAGCCUCUGCAAAUAUAUGAACCUUUUCUAGUUUUCUUGCGCGUUGUUUUAAGAUGAGAGUCCCACAAUGGGGCGGUCCACUAGGACUGGUCCCCUGUAGGCGCUGUAAAGUGAUCUAAAUGCCUCCUUAUUUAUGUACCUGAACAGUGUUCCGACUUUUGCCACUGUUGACUAUUCUACUGAUGUCAUCCUAUAUACAUGUGCCUCCAGAGUUAAGCUUGGUGUCAUAUCCACUCCCAGGUCCUUUGUUGUAGUCGUUACAGGGAGGUUGUUACCCUCAUUGUGUAACGUCCUUCUGAUCUUCUGGCGCACGUAUCCGUCACCUUACACUUACUACAGACCUUCUGGUGUGAGGUUAUUAGACCUUUCAGACCACUGAUAUGAAGUAUUUGGAGCUUUUCAAUUACUUUAUCCACUUUUUCGUUCUUAAAAAUAUGGUCGUAAAGCCCCUAGAGUUUAAAAUAUAUACAAGAAUUCUUAUAUUCUUGUACAGACACUAGCACACGUAACGUUUCGGGCAGGUCCUUUAUCCUAAUAUUCCCCGAAACACGACCCGCCAAAUCGUUUAACAACCAGGCCAUAGCUUGGUUGUCAGUGCAGGCUACUGAUCACAGGUCCCUGUGUGAUGGGGACUUUUAGCAUCACGUAGCUAGCCCAUAACACAAUCUAUGUAACUCUUCAUAUAGUCUAUGGUAGCUGCUUAAAUGUAUAUGUGCCUUAGUAUGUUAAUAAAUAAACUGACGCGAUUUCA